GUGGGGAAUUUUGGACAAUGGGCGAAAGCCUGAUCCAGCAAUGCCGCGUGCAGGAUGAAGGCCCUCGGGUUGUAAACUGCUUUUGUACGGAACGAAAAGCUCUGGGCUAAUACCUCGGAGUCAUGACGGUACCGUAAGAAUAAGCACCGGCUAACUACGUGCCAGCAGCCGCGGUAAUACGUAGGGUGCAAGCGUUAAUCGGAAUUACUGGGCGUAAAGCGUGCGCAGGCGGUUUUGUAAGACAGUGGUGAAAUCCCCGGGCUCAACCUGGGAACUGCCAUUGUGACUGCAAAGCUAGAGUGCGGCAGAGGGGGAUGGAAUUCCGCGUGUAGCAGUGAAAUGCGUAGAUAUGCGGAGGAACACCGAUGGCGAAGGCAAUCCCCUGGGCCUGCACUGACGCUCAUGCACGAAAGCGUGGGGAGCAAACAGGAUUAGAAACCCGAGUAGUCC
rnacentral:rRNA from 1 species